GCGAUGGAGAGUUUGAUCCUGGCUCAGGACGAACGCUGGCGGCGUGCCUAAUACAUGCAAGUCGAGCGGGCGCGGGGGGUGACCUCUGCGUCAGCGGCGGACGGGUGAGGAACACGUGAGUGACCUGGCUGGGGGCGGGGGAUAUCGGGCCGAAAGGCGCGGCAAUCCCGCAUACGCCCUGGUGGCGACGGCGCCAGGGGAAAGCGCGGAGGCGCACCCCCAGGGGGGCUCGCGGCCCAUUAGCUAGUUGGGGGGGUAAGGGCCUCCCAAGGCGACGAUGGGUAGCCGGCCUGAGAGGGUGGACGGCCACACUGGGACUGAGACACGGCCCAGACUC
rnacentral:rRNA from 1 species